GGAGGAGGGGGUAAAAUAAAAAGGAAACGAGCCCUGGUCCCCCCCCUCAGAGCUAAAUCAGCCCGAGCCCGUGAGGAGCGAUGUGUGAAGGAGACGCCUCCGUGAGGAGAGGAGUCGGGGCGGCGGCGGCGGCUUAAACCGAACGCUCGGGCGCGAGACCAACCGCCGGAGAAAAACCGUUGCUCUCCCCCCCGCCCUCACAGGGAGCAAACAUCGGAAGCUUCUGGAACCGGCCGGACCAUUCGACACGGCGGGGCCGGGGCCGGGCCGAGGCGAGGCGGGGCGGUGACGCGGGGCCUGGCGGAGCGGCGGCGGCUGUGAGGCCAGUCUGAAUCCUCUCCAGGUGCCUAGGAUGCUGCCGCAUGGUGAAGAUCAAUAAAUGCAGCGGGAAAGGCGAUUGAACCACAACACCCUCUGCUUUUCACACAUUCAUUCGCUGCCGGCACUAAGCUAAGCCACUGGGCAGAAGAUAAGAUAUAAUAAUGUAAAUUAAAUGGCUUUGCAAUUGAAAA